AGAGUUUGAUCCUGGCUCAGGACGAACGCUGGCGGCGCGCCUAACACAUGCAAGUCGAACGGAGCUUAGAGAGCUUGCUUUUUAAGCUUAGUGGCGAACGGGUGAGUAACGCGUGAGUAACCUGCCCUAGAGUGGGGGACAACAGUUGGAAACGACUGCUAAUACCGCAUAAGCCCACGGUACCGCAUGGCACUGAGGGAAAAGGAUUUAUUCGCUUUAGGAUGGACUCGCGUCCAAUUAGCUAGUUGGUGAGGUAACGGCCCACCAAGGCGACGAUUGGUAGCCGGACUGAGAGGUUGAACGGCCACAUUGGGACUGAGACACGGCCCAGACUCCUACGGGAGGCAGCAGUGGGGAAUAUUGCACAAUGGGGGAAACCCUGAUGCAGCGACGCCGCGUGGAGGAAGAAGGUUUUCGGAUUGUAAACUCCUGUCGUUAGGGACGAUAAUGACGGUACCUAACAAGAAAGCACCGGCUAACUACGUGCCAGCAGCCGCGGUAAAACGUAGGGUGCAAGCGUUGUCCGGAAUUACUGGGUGUAAAGGGAGCGCAGGCGGGAAGACAAGUUGGAAGUGAAAACCAUGGGCUCAACCCAUGAAUUGCUUUCAAAACUGUUUUUCUUGAGUAGUGCAGAGGUAGAUGGAAUUCCCGGUGUAGCGGUGGAAUGCGUAGAUAUCGGGAGGAACACCAGUGGCGAAGGCGGUCUACUGGGCACCAACUGACGCUGAGGCUCGAAAGCAUGGGUAGCAAACAGGAUUAGAUACCCUGGUAGUCCAUGCCGUAAACGAUGAUUACUAGGUGUUGGGGGAUUGACCCCCUCAGUGCCGCAGUUAACACAAUAAGUAAUCCACCUGGGGAGUACGACCGCAAGGUUGAAACUCAAAGGAAUUGACGGGGGCCCGCAC
rnacentral:rRNA from 1 species